AGAGUACUCCCUCCGUUCAGGAAUACUUGUCGUAGAAAUCGAUACAAAUGGAUGUAUAUAGAACUAAAAUAUAUCUGGAUACAUCCAUUCAUCGGAUAAGUAUUUCCGGACGGAGGGAGUAUAUA
rfam:Triticum aestivum genome assembly, contig: Triticum_aestivum_CS42_TGACv1_scaffold_177461_2DS